GACGAACGCUGGCGGCGUGCUUAACACAUGCAAGUCGAACGGAAAGGCCCUGCUUUUGUGGGGUGCUCGAGUGGCGAACGGGUGAGUAACACGUGAGUAACCUGCCCUUGACUUUGGGAUAACUUCAGGCAACUGGGGCUAAUACCGGAUAGGAGCUCCUGCUGCAUGGUGGGGGUUGGAAAGUUUCGGCGGUUGGGGAUGGACUCGCGGCUUAUCAGCUUGUUGGUGGGGUAGUGGCUUACCAAGGCUUUGACGGGUAGCCGGCCUGAGAGGGUGACCGGCCACAUUGGGACUGAGAUACGGCCCAGACUCCUACGGGAGGCAGCAGUGGGGAAUAUUGCACAAUGGGCGGAAGCCUGAUGCAGCAACGCCGCGUGCGGGAUGACGGCCUUCGGGUUGUAAACCGCUUUCGCCUGUGACGAAGCGUGAGUGACGGUAAUGGGUAAAGAAGCACCGGCUAACUACGUG
rnacentral:rRNA from 1 species